rnacentral:rRNA from 1 species
ACGGGGUGCAGCAGGGGCGAAAACUUCGCAAUGGGGGCAACCCCGACGAGGGAAAUCCAAGUGCCGGCACAUAGUGUCGGCUGUUGUUUAGUCUAAAUCGCUAGACGAGGAAAGGCUGGGUAAGACGGGUGCCAGCCGCCGCGGUAAUACCCGCAGCCUGAGUGGUGGUCGCUUUUAUUGGGUCUAAAGCGUCCGUAGCCGGAUCGUUAAAUCCAUGGGUAAAUCGACUCGCUUAACGAGUCGAAUUCCGUGGAGACUGGCGAUCUAGGGACCGGGAGAGGUCAGAGGUACUUUCGGGGUAGAGGUGAAAUUCUUUGAUCCCGGGGGGACCACCAGUGGCGAAGGCGUCUGACUGGAACGGAUCCGACGGUAAGGGACGAAACCCUGGGGCGCAAACCGGAUUAGAUACCCGGGUAGUCCAGGGCGUAAACGCUGUAGGCUUGGUGUUGCGUAUUCGACAAGAGUGCGCAGUGCCGUAGAGAAGUUGUUUAGCCUACCACCUGGGGAGUACGGUCGCAAGGCUGAAACUUAAAGGAAUUGGCGGGGGACC